GACAGACUGUGAACGUCCAUGGAGACCAUGCAGCCACUGCACUGGACGGAAGCCAUGUUGAGUGACCAUGAGGAGGACGGGUUAGAACACCCGUCACCCGAACGUCUCCCUGCCUUAUCGUGAAGAGCUCAUAAAGAUCCACUCUCGUCCGCUUCAAGUAGGCUAAUCCCUGUGUCAGCCUCACGAGGGAAAGGUACCACACACACACCGAGUGCCAGGCUCAGUGCUGAAUCAGAGUGACAGACUAUUUCAUCCCCGAAAAACUUGUGAUAACUGAGAAUUGUUCUGCCAAAGAACCAUUUCCCAUGGCUGAUUACAUUCAUAUUCAUUAAGAUUAUAUUCCCUUCACUAUGGAUUUUUUACUCUCCUCCCCUGAAACCCCAUCUGACCAUUUGGGAAGAUUAAGUGAGUGGGACGGAUGUGGUUUGAUUCCUAAACAAAGUGCUACUAAUUAUCUUUGCCCUCUCCGUUGUAAAUGGAGUGGAGAGUUGAAAGGUCAACCAUUUAACCCCUCGCUGACCUGUCACCUCUGCCCUUAAACCGAGGGAUUCUCUUGACAUCAUGAGACUGAGCGGAGGGACUUGGUCACAUUUUAAUGACUUUUUUUCUGUUAUAAUAAUUAAAAAAACACAAUAAAGGUAAUUGAAGCUAGCAACUAGAAGCCUAUUAUAUUUCCUGUUUUCUACCAAACUGUUGUGUGGCUCUUUAACAGAUAGAGACAACAUUGGGUUGUCACAAAUAAAUAAUAUGGAUGUGACAGAAAGCGGCAAUUUGGAUUCUCAUUAAAAUUUCAGAAGUCCUGAUGGUCCUCUGAAAAUUGAACCAACUGUUCCAAUGCAACCUUAAUUUUAUGCUACAGUAAGUGCAAAUUAGUUUCCAAAAAAUUAUUUUUAAUCACACUCUGCCGAGUUAAUUUGCUGUGUGGUAAUUUUCCCCUCUUAGCAUCACACUCCGUCAUGAACCAUGAUGACUCGUAUAAUCUGUAAUCACCCCAGGUCUGCCCUUGGUUCACACUCAGGGUUUCUCUCAAUCUGUCGAGGCUCCAUACGCACUUCAUCGACGCAAACACAUCACACGCUCUCCUUCAUGCGUCUCUGAUGCAAAGCAACACUGUCGGCCGAUGGAAGCCAAUGAAUAACCUUUGGUUACUGAUUCUUUUUCUCACAGCAAAAGGGAUCGGAUAUAGAAUUCUGGGCUUUUCUUGUAACAUUACAUUACAUCUUAUUUUUAUGUAUCCUGAUGAAAACUAUUAAAGAUUUUAAAGAUA